rnacentral:rRNA from 1 species
UACGUAGGUGGCGAGCGUUGUCCGGAUUUAUUGGGCGUAAAGCGCGCGCAGGCGGAUGCCUAAGUCCGGUGUGAAAGCCCCCGGCUCAACUGGGGGAGGCCACGGGAGACUGGGCGUCUGGAGGCAGGCAGAGGCCGGUGGAAUUCCCGGUGUAGUGGUGAAAUGCGUAGAGAUCGGGAGGAACACCAGUGGCGAAGGCGGCCGGCUGGGCCUGUUCUGACGCUGAGGCGCGAAAGCGUGGGGAGCGAACCGG